UACGUAGGUGGCAAGCGUUAUCCGGAAUUAUUGGGCGUAAAGAGCGCGCAGGUGGUUAAUUAAGUCUGAUGUGAAAGCCACGGCUUAACCGUGGAGGGUCAUUGGAAACUGGUUGACUUGAGUGCAGAAGAGGGAAGUGGAAUUCCAUGUGUAGCGGUGAAAUGCGUAGAGAUAUGGAGGAACACCAGUGGCGAAGGCGGCUUCCUGGUCUGCAACUGACGCUGAGGCGCGAAAGCGUGGGGAGCAAACAGG
rnacentral:rRNA from 1 species